AUUGAACGCUGGCGGCAGGCCUAACACAUGCAAGUCGAGCGAGCGGCGGACGGGUGAGUAAUGUAUGGGGACUGCCCGAUAGAGGGGGAUAACAACUGGAAACGGUAGCUAAUACCGCAUACUAUCGGAUAACCCAUAUGGGAUUAGCUAGUCGGGGGGGUAAGGGCUCACCUAGGCGACGAUCCCUAGCUGGUCUGAGAGGGUGAUCAGCCACACUGGGACUGAGACACGGCCCAGACGCCUACGGAGGCAGCAGUGGGGAAUAUUGCACAAUGGGCGCAAGCCUGAUGCAGCCAUGCCGCGUGUAUGAAGAAGGCCCUAGGGUUGUAAAGUACUUUCAGUCGGGAGGCGUUACCGACAGAAGAAGCACCGGCUAACUCCGUGCCAGCAGCCGCGGUAAUAC
rnacentral:rRNA from 1 species